rnacentral:rRNA from 1 species
UUCCGGUUGAUCCUGCCGGAGGCCAUUGCUAUCGGAGUCCGAUUUAGCCAUGCUAGUCGAGCGAGGUUAGCCCUCGCGGCGAACAGCUCAGUAACACGUGGCCAAGCUACCCUGCAGAGGGGGACAGCGUCGGGAAACUGACGGGAAUCCCCCAUACCGGUCUCACGCUGGAAUGCCGAGACCGACAAACGCUCCGGCGCUGCAGGAUGCGGCUGCGGCCGAUUAGGUAGUCGGUGGGGUAACGGCCCACCGAGCCGAUAAUUGGUACGGGGUGUGAGAGCACGAGCCCGGAGACGGAAUCUGAGACAAGAUUCCGGGCCCUACGGGGCGCAGCAGGCGCGAAACCUUUACACUGCACGAACGUGCGAUAAGGGGACUCCGAGUGCGAGGGCAUACAGUCCUCGCUGUUGUGUACCGUAGGGUGGUACACGACCAAGAGCUGGGCAAGACCGGUGCCAGCCGCCGCGGUAAUACCGGCAGCUCGAGUGAUGGCCGAUUUUAUUGGGCCUAAAGCGUCCGUAGCUGGCCCUGCAAGUCCGUCGGGAAAUCCACUCGCCUAACGAGUGGGCGUCCGGCGGAAACUACAGGGCUUGGGACCGGAAGACUUGAGGGGUACGUCUGGGGUAGGAGUGAAAUCCUGUAAUCCUGGACGGACCGCCGAUAGCGAAAGCACCUCAAGACGACGGAUCCGACAGUGAGGGACGAAAGCUAGGGUCUCGAACCGGAUUAGAUACCCGGGUAGUCCUAGCUGUAAACGAUGUUCGCUAGAUGUGGCACAGGCUACGUGCCUGU